GAUGAGGAGCUUGCUUCUUUGAUCAGUGGCGAACGGGUGAGUAACACGUGAGCAAUCUGCCCUUGACUCUGGGAUAACUGCGGGAAACUGUAGCUAAUACCGGAUACGACCUUGGAAGGCAUCUUCUGUGGUGGAAAGAAUUUUGGUCAAGGAUGAGCUCGCGGCCUAUCAGCUAGUUGGUGAGGUAAUGGCUCACCAAGGCGACGACGGGUAGCCGGCCUGAGAGGGUGACCGGCCACACUGGGACUGAGACACGGCCCAGACUCCUACGGGAGGCAGCAGUGGGGAAUAUUGCACAAUGGGCGCAAGCCUGAUGCAGCAACGCCGCGUGAGGGACGAAGGCCUUCGGGUUGUAAACCUCUUUUAGUAGGGAAGAAGUGACUGGGUUUUCCUGGAAGUGACGGUACCUGCAGAAAAAGCACCGGCUAACUACGUGCCAGCAGCCGCGGUAAUACGUAGGGUGCAAGCGUUGUCCGGAAUUAUUGGGCGUAAAGAGCUCGUAGGCGGUUUGUUGCGUCUGCUGUGAAAACCCGAGGCUCAACCUCGGGCCUGCAGUGGGUACGGGCAGACUAGAGUGCGGUAGGGGAGAUUGGAAUUCCUGGUGUAGCGGUGGAAUGCGCAGAUAUCAGGAGGAACACCAAUGGCGAAGGCAGAUCUCUGGGCCGUAACUGACGCUGAGGAGCGAAAGCAUGGGGAGCGAACAGGAUUAGAUACCCUGGUAGUCCAUGCCGUAAACGUUGGGAACUAGAUGUGGGGACCAUUCCACGGUCUCCGUGUCGCAGCUAACGCAUUAAGUUCCCCGCCUGGGGAGUACGGCCGCAAGGCUAAAACUCAAAGGAAUUGACGGGGGCCCGCACAAGCGGCGGAGCAUGCGGAUUAAUUCGAUGCAACGCGAAGAACCUUACCAAGGCUUGACAUAUACCGGUAACGGCUGGAAACAGUCGCCCCGCAAGGUCGGUAUACAGGUGGUGCAUGGUUGUCGUCAGCUCGUGUCGUGAGAUGUUGGGUUAAGUCCCGCAACGAGCGCAACCCUCGUCCUAUGUUGCCAGCACGUAAUGGUGGGAACUCAUGGGAUACUGCCGGGGUCAACUC
rnacentral:rRNA from 1 species